AGGGGCAGCUUUCUUCCAGACGGAGGUGCUCGCAACGGUCGUUGUUCCUGUGCAGGGACCUCCUUGGUGCUGGGCUGACUGGAAGCCAUUGCUGU
rnacentral:pre_miRNA from 1 species